AUAGCAGGCCGUUCUAUCGCUGUCCCGGAAGGGAGAGAGGAAAGUCCGGGCAACACAGGGAAUCGUACUUCCUAACGGGAAGAUAUCCGCGAGGGUAUAGUAACGUAACAGAAAACAACCGUUCCGCAGACCGCUCUGCGGAAUAAGGGUGAAAAGGCGGGGUAAGAGCCCACCGGUAUCCCGGGCAACCGGGGUAGCCGUACGUCUUACGAGUUGCAAGACCAUGUAUACCGACGUUUUAAGC
rnacentral:RNase_P_RNA from 1 species